rnacentral:rRNA from 1 species
AUUGAACGCUAGCGGGAUGCUUUACACAUGCAAGUCGAACGGCAGCGCGGACUUCGGUCUGGCGGCGAGUGGCGAACGGGUGAGUAAUGUAUCGGAACGUGCCCAGUAGCGGGGGAUAACUACGCGAAAGCGUAGCUAAUACCGCAUACGCCCUACGGGGGAAAGCAGGGGAUCGUAAGACCUUGCACUAUUGGAGCGGCCGAUAUGGGAUUGGCUAGUUGGUGAGGUAACGGCUCACCAAGGCGACGAUCCGUAGCUGGUUUGAGAGGACGACCAGCCACACUGGGACUGAGACACGGCCCAGACUCCUACGGGAGGCAGCAGUGGGGAAUUUUGGACAAUGGGGGCAACCCUGAUCCAGCCAUCCCGCGUGUGCGAUGAAGGCCUUCGGGUUGUAAAGCACUUUUGGCAGGAAAGAAACGUCGCGGGCUAAUACCCCGUGGAACUGACGGUACCUGCAGAAUAAGCACCGGCUAACUACGUG